CUGGCUGGGGUGGUGUCUUCUAGUUCCGCCCAGACUGUUUGGCUUCGGGUCUUGGGGCGGGGCGUUUGUGGACCACGCCCCGAGCAGGUCGGCUUGUAGGGGCUGGAUAGGGUCUCUUCAGGUCUUACUAUAUGGUACUGGACCUCAGGUCAUGGAAUGGAUGCUGCCCACAGUUAAGGUUCAUCUUUCUGGCUCAGCUAACCCAGUCUAGAAACUUCCUCACAGGCUGCCAGCAGAAGAUGUGGUUCAGAUUAGAGGUGUGUCUCCCCACCUCAAGAUCUGUAUUAAAGGAUUGUGUCGUCCUACCUCAAGAUUCCUAUCAAAGGCCUGUGUCUUACAGCCUCAAGAUCCA